GUCGUGGCCACGCCGCGGGGCGACACGAAAGCAAACUCGACCUCGACGCCUCCUCCCACAUCAACGCCUUCCGCCGAAUGCGAGCCCGCCGCUCGUCGCAUUCUUGCUCCCCUCGUCUUCGAUCGCGCGAGAGAUUUGAGAAGGUCUCCCGAGGUGCAAUGGUGGGCACACAUGGUUAUGAACCCACCCACCUGGGUUCGAGGACUCUAGUCAAGGUUAAAAAGACAGCACCAGAGAUUCCACGCCAAGAUUUUAGGAUCAGAGGGAGUAUAUAAUCAAGAUCGGAAGCCUAACUCUUUCAAGAUUUACAUGCAUGUCAUACCCUGGGACGGCCACCAGCUGCACAAGGCAUCUUCUAAAUCUCUUGGCUGACCACAAUCUCGAGUAUCAAAAUUGAAAAUUCACAACAAGAUGUCUCAACAGAUGCGUGCACCUACCCCAACAACUAAAAAUGAGGCUGCUAUCACAACAAGGCAAAGUACUGAAGCUGCAUCUGCUAUACUACUGUUACACUGAAUUUUAUUUAUUUUGUCAUUUCUGAUGUAUGCAAAGCCAAAUAAAAUAAAAUUAGAAAUUUAGUUGGGUUCAUUUGAUUCUGAAUAUUAUAAAACAAAAUUAUAUAAUGUGUCACAAAAUUGUUCAAAACCGAACUGAAUGAUCACCCCUAGUUAUGGCCUGAUCUUAGGCUUGUAACUAUGUAUUCUUUUUAUCGAUGCAUCAAGGCGCAAACUUUGCAUUUUCUCGGAAAAAGAAAGUACUCUUGCCUCGGAGAAUUUGGCAUGGAGGACCAGGAGCACAUCACAUGUCAGUUACUUAUUGGGCAGUAUUUUCGUACUCUUUGGUUUUAACAAUGGUAUCCAUGCUAAUGUGACUAGACUUUUCUUAAGAAAAUACUUCCACAACAUUGCAUUUUAACUAUAUCUUGCAAAUAUAGUACUUCCUCCGUCCAACAAAGGAUGUCUCAACUUUGACUAAAUUUGAAUGCAUCUAUACACUAAGUCAUGUCUAGAUACAUCCAAAUUUUGACAAACUUGAGACAUCUUUUGUUGGACGGAGGGAGUAAUAAUGUAUAACGAAAAUGGUUGUCCCAGUUGCAUUUUCGAAGCUGUUCUAAUACAAUACGGUCUUUAGAGCAGAUGGAAUGCAGUACAAUUGUUAUUGUUGCCCACUAAUAGGAAAUAAUUGAUCUUAUGUUGAAUAUGUCAUAAGGAAGUUGAUCACUUGAUGUACUGCCUGGUAAUGUUUUUUUCCAGAUAAACUGUCAUACACCAUCUGUGUUCUACUUGCGACAGGUUCCAAAUUGCUGAGGAGGAUAAGGGAGAAUAUCAUGGGCUGGGAGAAGACCUCCCUGAAGCAAGGUCCCAUUUAAUCCCUCACGCAUAGUUCUACAGCUGGGAGCAUUCACAAGGAUAGCCCUGUUGCCAAGUAUCUUCUUUGGCAUUCUGUGAAGCCUAAGGAUUUUAAUUCAUAUGACAAGUAGCGCGCCAAUUACGAAGCAAUGAUUGGUAAUAUUCGAAUUAUCAUCAAGCUCUUGGGUAGUAAACCCCUGGACAAAAAACGACUCACACUUGAGAGAAGAUUUAUGUCCAUGCUGCCAUGGUAUAAGACUGAUGGACACACACCUGUAUUGGCGCGUUGAGUAUGGCCAGGAUUCAAAAUGCACGAAGUAUGGGUGCAGAUUCCAGAAGGACUGCCUGCAUGGUCUCACAUUAUUUUGAUUCUACUUCAUUUCCCCAAGGGUACACGUGGAGAAUUUCAGGUUUUUCAUUAAACAUGUUCCUGUAGACUUGGGCUCUUCUUCUGCCUUCUGGUGGCAAUAGCUAAACAUCUCGCCAUCGAACUCACCCUCCGGCUCUCUAAUUCAGUGCGAUGGCCUGGAGGACUAAUGGCAAUGCCAAGGGAAGGAUAUUGAAUUCAUUGUUACCAGAUUUAUCCAUCAUCACAUUUUUCCUGAGAUAUGCAAACAUUAAUAACUACUGAUUAAUUUUUAUAUUCCAAAAUUGCAUUAGGAGGUACUACUAAUUUAUUGCAUACCAUGUUUUCAGUGUUAUCUCCAUAUACGACGUGUAGAGCUAACAGAAACAUAUUCUUCCCUAUUAUUGCAAACAUGACCCAACAAGUACGUUUAUUUACUCGUGAAAAAUAAUAACACUCUAAAACGUGUUUAUUCUGAGUUGAUUGGAUACCGCCGAUGUUCCAUGUCAAAAUAUGAGAAAAUUAUUCCUUGCACCAAAACUCACAAUUUCACAGCAGUUUUGUGUCCUAACUUGUGUGUAAAUUCCUUCCUACAUUGUUAUGAAGUACUACCUCCAAUCAAAUCAGCGGUUGGUAUGGAUUGGAGGGAGAAGCAUAUUACUCAUACCGAAACACAAACUGCACGAUCAGUAUGUUCUGACAUUUUAUUUUAUUAAGGAAGGUUAGAACCUCCUGGC